UUGAGUGUUACAACUCCCAAACCCUUUGUGAACCUUACCUAUUGUUGCUUCGGCGGGACCGCCCCGGCGCCUCUGCGCGCCGGACUCACGGCGCCCGCCGGGGGACCGAAACUCUUGAUUCCAUCAGUGGUUUUCUCUCUGAGUGGCACAAGCAAAAAUAAAUCA
rnacentral:misc_RNA from 1 species